AUACGGGGGGGCAAGCGUUGUUCGGAAUUAUUAGGCGUAAAGGGCGCGUAGGCGGUCCCGCAAGUCUUUCGUGAAAUCCCACAGCUCAACUGUGGAACUGCGAGGGAAACUGCAGGACUUGAGUCCGGGAGAGGAGAGUGGAAUUCCCAGUGUAGCGGUGAAAUGCGUAGAUAUUGGGAGGAACACCGGUGGCGAAGGCGGCUCUCUGGACCGGUACUGACGCUGAGGCGCGAAAGCUAGGGGAGCAAACGGGAUUAGAAACCCCAGUAGUCC
rnacentral:rRNA from 1 species